AUCACCGUAAGGGAAGGAAAGAAAGGAGGCCCAAGUCACUGCAAGGUCCAGCGUCCCCGCUGAGUGACAGCGGGCACAUGGGCGGGACUUAAAAGAGCGGGACUUACAAAGGGCGGGACUUACAAAGGGCGGGACUUGCAAAGGGCGGGACUCCCAAAGUGCUUUGGUAGCUAGCGAGGGCUUUGAGACGGCCGAGAGUUUGAGCGCCAAGGCUCUCUCUCCCCAGGGGACUCUGCAACCUGACUAGGUGCUCCUUCCCUGAGCAUAGUAACAUUCCAGGGAGCUGCCCGGGGAAGCUUAACGCUCGAUGCGGUAUGUAUUCUAUCUAGUAGCAUCUUGCAAAAAUAUAGUGAAAUAUCAAGGACUACCGAGACUGCUAUAUACGAUGGAAUUGCAAACCUUUCAGCUUAUGUGGUUAUUAAGUUAGCUGAACAUUGUAGUUUUGUUCCCAGAGAAGAUAUUUGCUAGCAUUCAACAUUUACCCCUUGCCAGUCUUUCGUGCAGUUCUGUAUUUCUCUAAGACUGCUUUUGCAUAUUACACCCUUACGGCCUUUAGUUUGAACAUUCUAUAUGUCUCUGAUUAUAAAGAUGUUGAAGCUAAGAGAUACUUGUUUACUUAGGCCUAAUGGCAGAAAGCAUCCUGGGGAACUUUCCAGGAUGUACAUAUAUAUACAUAGAAACGCUCAAUAUCCCCUGUUAUGGAUUCAAGAAACUGUGACUCCCCUGGGAAGACACAUUUAAGAGCGGACUACCUCGUGUAUUGAGCUUCUUCACAUUCCCAGUUAAUGUCUGAAAUAAGAAGUCAGAGACUUACCAGAAGGAACAGACCUUGGGGUGAGAGCUGAGGGAAGGGAGCUGCUUUCAUAAAAAACACCAAUCCGAUCAAAGCCAUACAUCCCACUAGCUGGCAUAAGAAAGCCUAUAGCUUUCUAUAGAAGAUAUGAGUCAGAAAUACAAGGAAAGAG
rnacentral:lncRNA from 1 species